CCCUGGUAGUCCACGCCGUAAACGAUGUCGAUUUGGAGGUUGUGCCCUUGAGGCGUGGCUUCCGGAGCUAACGCGUUAAAUCGACCGCCUGGGGAGUACGGCCGCAAGGUUAAAACUCAAAUGAAUUGACGGGGGCCCGCACAAGCGGUGGAGCAUGUGGUUUAAUUCGAUGCAACGCGAAGAACCUUACCUGGUCUUGACAUCCACAGAACUUGCCAGAGAUGGCUUGGUGCCUUCGGGAACUGUGAGACAGGUGCUGCAUGGCUGUCGUCAGCUCGUGUUGUGAAAUGUUGGGUUAAGUCCCGCAACGAGCGCAACCCUUAUCCUUUGUUGCCAGCGGUCCGGCCGGGAACUCAAAGGAGACUGCCAGUGAUAAACUGGAGGAAGGUGGGGAUGACGUCAAGUCAUCAUGGCCCUUACGACCAGGGCUACACACGUGCUACAAUGGCAUAUACAAAGAGAAGCGACCUCGCGAGAGCAAGCGGACCUCAUAAAGUAUGUCGUAGUCCGGAUUGGAGUCUGCAACUCGACUCCAUGAAGUCGGAAUCGCUAGUAAUCGUAGAUCAGAAUGCUACGGUGAAUACGUUCCCGGGCCUUGUACACACCGCCCGUCACACCAUGGGAGUGGGUUGCAAAAGAAG
rnacentral:rRNA from 1 species